UACGUAGGGAGCGAGCGUUGUCCGGAUUUAUUGGGCGUAAAGAGCUCGUAGGCGGUUUGGUAAGUCGGGUGUGAAAGCUCCGAGCUCAACUCGGAGAGGUCACUCGAUACUGCCAUGACUGGAGUCCGGUAGGGGGGUGUGGAAUUCCCAGUGUAGCGGUGAAAUGCGCAGAUAUCAGGAGGAACACCAAUAGCGAAGGCAGCUCGCUGGGACGGUACUGACGCUAAGGCGCGAAAGCGUGGGGAGCGAACAGG
rnacentral:rRNA from 1 species